GACGUAGGGCGCAAGCGUUGUCCGGAUUUAUUGGGCGUAAAGGGCUCGUAGGCGGCUUGUCGCGUCUGUCGUGAAAGCUCAGGGCUUAACUCUGAGUUUGCGGUGGAUACGGGCAGGCUUGAGGCAAGUAGGGGAGAACGGAAUUCCAUGUGUAGCGGUGAAAUGCGCAGAUAUGUGGAGGAACACCGGCGGCGAAGGCGGCGCUCUGGGCCGGAACUGACGCUGAGGAGCGAAAGCGUGGGUAGCAAACAGGAUUAGAUACCCU
rnacentral:rRNA from 1 species